rnacentral:rRNA from 1 species
CCUACGGGAGACAGCAGUGAGGAAUAUUGCACAAUGGGCGAAAGCCUGAUGCAGCAACGCCGCGUGAGCGAUGAAGGCCUUCGGGUCGUAAAGCUCUGUCCUCAAGGAAGAUAAUGACGGUACUUGAGGAGGAAGCCCCGGCUAACUACGUGCCAGCAGCCGCGGUAAUACGUAGGGAGCAAGCGUUGUCCGGAAUUACUGGGCGUAAAGGGCGCGUAGGUGGGCGCUUAAGUCAGGUGUGAAAACUCCGGGCUCAACCUGGAGACUGCACUUGAAACUGGGUGUCUUGAGGGCAGGAGAGGAAAGUGGAAUGCCUAGUGUAGCGGUGAAAUGCGUAGAUAUUAGGAGGAACACCAGUGGCGAAGGCGACUUUCUGGACUGUACCUGACGCUGAGGCGCGAAAGCGUGGGUAGCGAACGGGAUUAGAUACCCUGGUAGUC